rnacentral:rRNA from 1 species
AACGAACGCUGGCGGCAGGCCUAACACAUGCAAGUCGAGCGGUCCCUUUGGGGGCAGCGGCGGACGGGUGAGUAACGCGUGGGAACCUGGCCUUGGGUGCGGGAUAACGUCGGGAAACUGGCGCUAAUACCGCAUAAUGUCUACUGACCAAAGAUUUAUCGCCCAAGGAUGGGCCCGCGUUGGAUUAGCUAGAUGGUGGGGUAACGGCCUACCAUGGCGACGAUCCAUAGCUGGUUUGAGAGGAUGAUCAGCCACACUGGGACUGAGACACGGCCCAGACUCCUACGGGAGGCAGCAGUGGGGAAUUUUGGACAAUGGGCGAAAGCCUGGUCCAGCAAUGCCGCGUGCAGGAUGAAGGCC